rnacentral:rRNA from 1 species
CAGUAGCCACGGUAAAACGGAGGGUGCAAGCGUUAUCCGGAUUUAUUGGGUUUAAAGGGUCCGUAGGCGGACUUAUAAGUCAGUGGUGAAAGCCUGUCGCUUAACGAUAGAACUGCCAUUGAUACUGUAAGUCUUGAGUAUAUUUGAGGUAGCUGGAAUAAGUAGUGUAGCGGUGAAAUGCAUAGAUAUUACUUAGAACACCAAUUGCGAAGGCAGGUUACCAAGAUAUAACUGACGCUGAGGGACGAAAGCGUGGGUAGCGAACAGGAUUAGAUACCCGAGUAGUCCCUGUCUCUUAUAC